rnacentral:rRNA from 1 species
UAGGGAAUCUUCCGCAAUGGACGAAAGUCUGACGGAGCAACGCCGCGUGAGUGAAGAAGGAUUUCGGUUCGUAAAACUCUGUUGUUAGGCAAGAAAAAAUGUAUAGUAACUAUAUACAAAAGAGACGGUACCUAACCAGAAAGCCACGGCUAACUACGUGCCAGCAGCCGCGGUAAUACGUAGGUGGCAAGCGUUGUCCGGAAUUAUUGGGCGUAAAGCGCGCGCAGGUGGUUUAGAAAGUCUGAUGUGAAAGCCCACGGCUCAACCGUGGAGGGUCAUUGGAAACUAAUAAACUUGAGUGCAGGAGAGAAAAGUGGAAUUCCUAGUGUAGCGGUGAAAUGCGUAGAGAUUAGGAGGAACACCGGUGGCGAAAGCGGCUUUUUGGCCUGCAACUGACACUGAGGCGCGAAAGCGUGGGGAGCAAACAGG